CAGCAGCCACGGGAAUACGGAGGAUCCAAGCGUUAUCCGGAUUUAUUGGGUUUAAAGGGUGCGUAGGUGGCCUGUUAAGUCAGGGGUGAAAGACGGUAGCUUAACUAUCGCAGUGCCCUUGAUACUGAUGGGCUUGAAUGAACUAGAGGUAGGCGGAAUGUGACAAGUAGCGGUGAAAUGCAUAGAUAUGUCACAGAACACCAAUUGCGAAGGCAGCUUACUAUGGUUUUAUUGACACUGAGGCACGAAAGCGUGGGGAUCAAACAGGAUUAGAUACCCGCGUAGUCCCUGUCUCUUAUAC
rnacentral:rRNA from 1 species